rnacentral:rRNA from 1 species
GCCUAACCAUAACACAACAAUAAAAUCACAUAUUGUUCGCCAAAUAACUACGAGUAAAAACUUAAAAUUUAAAAGACUUGACGGUACCCCACAACAACCUAGAGGAGCCUGUUCAGUAACCGAUACUCCACGAUUAAUCCAACCUUCCCUAGCCUACCAGUCUAUAUACCGCCGUCGCCAGCCUACCUUAUGAAAGAAACAAAGUAAGCCAAACAGCCACACACUAACACGACAGGUCGAGGUGUAACUCAUGGGGGGGACUAGAAUGGGCUACAUUAUCUAAUUCAGAUAACACGGAUAAACUAUGAAACAAGAAACUAAAGGCGGAUUUAGCAGUACACUAUGAACAAUAAUACCUAGUCGAAAUUAGCGCAAUGGGGUGCGUACACACCGCCCGUCAUCCCUGUCAACUUAACCAAAACAUUCAUAAACACAAACACUAAACCUAAAGCAGGGCAAGUCGUAACACGGUAAGCGUACUGGAAAGUGCGCUUAGAAA